GCCAGCAGCCAUAUCACUCUGCAACCCACAGCUGGCAGCCCACUGGAGCUCAGCAGGGUUGAGCCUGGUCAGUACCUGGAUGGGAGACCACCUAGGAAAAACUAAGGUUGCUGCUGGAA
rnacentral:rRNA from 1 species